UUCGAGGUCUGACACUGUCACUACAGAACAUGAAUGUAUUUAAACGUUGCAAUGAAUAAUGAGAGCAAUCAUUAUAUGGAUGGCGUAAUAACAGGGGAGCAGUAGCGCCUCUGGUGGUCAGAUGCUUAACUGUAUUAGAGGUUGACAGUUUAGAUAUUAUGGUGAAGUAAGGGUGAGUGGCGCGUCUGGGAGUCCCGCUUCUUAACGUGUGGCUCAGUUGUCGACCAGCCGCCGCCUGGCAAGGGUCAUGUUGAUUACUAGUGUGCAAAUAAAUUUGUGUUGCAGAUAUCUUUAUAUAGAAAGGAUUGUUCGGGAAGUGUGACACGUGUGGACAAGUGUUGGAUCAGAGGAGUCAAGGAACGCAAUGUGGAAGUGUUAUUCUGCUACGAGGCCUAUGAUGAAGUAGUUCUCAUGCAGCUACGGGAAUUCACUAACAGGAAAAUUGUUUCUGUAGAGAAAGAAAUGCGUCAGGAUAAAGAAGCAGUUGAUAACGAAGGAAGUAA